AAUGAAAUGCCUGAUAAAAAGGAUUAUUUUGAUAGAAUAAAUCAUGUAUUUUUAAUACUUUCAUUA
rnacentral:tRNA from 1 species